GAUGAACGCUGGCGGCGUGCCUAAUACAUGCAAGUCGAGCGAACAGACGAGGAGCUUGCUCCUCUGACGUUAGCGGCGGACGGGUGAGUAACACGUGGAUAACCUACCUAUAAGACUGGGAUAACUUCGGGAAACCGGAGCUAAUACCGGAUAAUAUAUUGAACCGCAUGGUUCAAUAGUGAAAGACGGUUUUGCUGUCACUUAUAGAUGGAUCCGCGCCGCAUUAGCUAGUUGGUAAGGUAACGGCUUACCAAGGCAACGAUGCGUAGCCGACCUGAGAGGGUGAUCGGCCACACUGGAGCUGGGACAGGGUCCAGACUCCUACGGGAGGCAGCAGUAGGGAAUCUUCCGCAAUGGGCGAAAGCUUGACGGAGCAACGCCGCGUGAGUGAUGAAGGUCUUCGGAUCGUAAAACUCUGUUAUUAGGGAAGAACAAAUGUGUAAGUAACUAUGCACGUCUUGACGGUAACUAAUCAGAAAGCCACGGCUAACUACGUG
rnacentral:rRNA from 1 species